rnacentral:rRNA from 1 species
GUGGGGAAUAUUGGUCAAUGGGGGAAACCCUGAACCAGCAACGCCGCGUGAAGGAAGAAGGCCUUCGGGUUGUAAACUUCUUUGACAGGGGACGAAGGACGUGACGGUACCCUGAAAACAAGCCACGGCUAACUACGUGCCAGCAGCCGCGGUAAGACGUAGGGGGCGAGCGUUGUCCGGAAUUACUGGGCGUAAAGAGAACGUAGGCGGGAACUUAAGUCAGGUGUGAAAGACCGGGGCUCAACUCCGGGGUUGCACUUGAAACGGGGUGUCUUGAGGGCAGGAGAGGAAAGCAGAAUUCCUGGUGUAGCGGUGAAAUGCGUAGAAAUCAGGAGGAAUACCAGUGGCGAAGGCGGCUUUCUGGACUGACCCUGACGCUGAGGUACGAAAGCGUGGGUAGCAAACAGGAUUAGAUACCCUGGUAGUCC